AGGAUCAUGGGGAAGGAAGAAAGGUUAUGUGUGUUGAGCUGGUGGCUAAUCGCUUCUUACGCAAGGGAAGCUGGAUUUCACAUUCUCAUUACCAGCUAACAGCUGUUAGUGUCUGAUGAGAAGUACUUUCGGCGUGUGAAAUGGCAAUACAUGGUGUUAGAUGAAGCCCAGGCAAUCAAAAGUUCGAACAGUAUAAGAUGGAAGACACUGCUUAGCUUCAAUUGUCGGAACCGAUUGCUGCUGACUGGUACACCUAUCCAGAAUAAUAUGGCAGAGCUGUGGGCCCUUUUGCAUUUUAUUAUGCCAACCUUAUUUGACAGCCAUGAACAAUUUAAUGAGUGGUUUUCAAAAGGAAUCGAGAACCAUGCAGAGCACGGGGGUACUUUGAACGAGCACCAGCUUAACAGAUUG